GUGGAUUAGAUACCCUGGUAGUCCACGCCCUAAACGAUGGGCACUCAGUGUGGGAGGUAUCGACCCCUUCCGUGCUGCAGCUAACGCAGUAAGUGCCCCGCCUGGGGAGUACGGCCGCAAGGUUGAAACUCAAAGGAAUUGACGGGGGCCCGCACAAGCGGUGGAGCAUGUGGUUCAAUUCGACGCAACGCGAAGAACCUUACCUGGGUUUGACAUGCUGGUAGUAAGGAACCGAAAGGGGACUGAGCCCCGCAAGGGGAGGCCAGCACAGGUGCUGCACGCUCGUCGUCAACU
rnacentral:rRNA from 1 species